rnacentral:lncRNA from 1 species
UUAACAGACUCAGCAUUUAAUACUCAUUAAAUGUCGUAUCGCACUCUUGUCUAUAGCCAGAUUCAUUCUUUCUGAUGCCCGGUUAUAAGUAGACUUAAAUAGGUACGGGCGUCGAGUUACUCGUCCCGUGCCUCGUCCUCUUUCCUUGCUCGUCUCUGUUUAGUAACUCCUGAACCAUGACUAAUUCUAAAUUAUUGAUCAACACACGUCUCAUGACACAUCACCAUAUCUAUACAUAUACAAUUGUUUCCAAUACAAUGGCACGCCAAAUCAAAUGAAACAGCCAAUAAGAUCGUGCUACAUGUCAAAGCUACAGGCAGUGGUAGACCUAGGAUUUUCUGCAAGCGAUUCAGUCGAAAAAGUCCAUAACUAACAUAAGCGGUAUAAGCCGUAUAAGCGGGUUUAAAAAUAAUUUCUAUACAAAUUUACAUUAAUGUAGUCAUAAUUUAGACUUAUGCACAACUGAUUGGCGACUAAGAGAUGGCAUACAAAGCCAAAUUAAAAAGCCAAUGAUACCGCACCACGAAACGCUUACUAGGUCAGGCGAUUGGCAACUAAGAGAAGACUAUACGCGGCUGCCAUCGCACGCUUGCACUUGCUACCUCGGCCAGCGGCCAGCCUAUUUCCAUGGCAGGUCAACCUCUCAAACCACCGAAUAAUCCAGUCCUCUAGCCAAUACAAUCCACUGCCAACCCUAAUCCACCACUGGAUUUCUCCAACAUAUUUAGACCUAGUUCAUUAAAUACAUCCAUGCAGCCUAAGUUAAACAAAAACCUUACUGUCUCAUUGAUUCCUAUAAACACAUUUCCUUUCUACACGGAGAACCACUGAUCUGAUGGAUGAACACAAAAUUCAAUCAUAUGAAUAACAUUAAGAAUCUCAGAUUUUGCAAUUGUUGGAAAAUUUUCAUACGGGUGGCCAGAGAUUAUAAGAGUUUCAUAAACUAAUUAGAACUCAAUUUGGGAUUAAAGCUGAAGCUAAAAUUGGACUACUUUGUUUUAGACAUGCUUUAAUAAGGUGUCUGGAGGAUUAUGUGAAUUUGAUAUCAAGAGGUGCAUAUUAGAUUAAAGUAAGUGAUGGCUAUAAAUAUCCAAUAAGGCCUUUAUAGUACUAUGAUGUAUGGUUUAACCCAGACGAGGAAGCUUCUAUAGCUAUAGCGUGGAUUUAUUUUUCAAUUCUCCCUCCUACUUUCUUUGUGAAAGAAUCACUAUUUUCACUUGCCUGAGCGAUCACCUCCACAUGUAGAUUUUGCAACAAAGAAUAAGACAAGGCCUGGUUGUGCACGUGUGAAGUGGAAGUAGAUCGCUUGGCUAAGUUGCGUAAGAGAGUAAAAAUCAGGUGGUCGAUGAGGCAACAAGAGGUUUGAAAUCAAAGUGGAUAAAAAUACAAUAUGAUUACAUGCCUAAGUAGUUCAAGGAAUGUAAGUUACAAGGUCACUAUGAAACUAAGUGUAGGGUACGGCACCAAGAAUUGAUUCCAGUUUUUGACCAAGAACAACUGUAGAUAGUGAAAAUAAACAGACAAAAUUAAUCAUAUCUCCCCCUGUUAAAAAUCUAACCAGUGGUAUUGUAGUUGGCUACCCUAGUUGUAGAUGGCAAGAAGUACGAGACAAUAGAUCAGAAAAGAGUACUGAGGCUAAGGACAAUGAGGCGAAGGACAAGGAAGUUACCAGCAAAGGAGGUAACAAGAUUGAGCAAAAUGUGAGAGUUUCAAUGCAAACAACUAUCAAGUUUGCAUUAUCGAAAGAAGGGGAAAUAGAAGAAGCUUUGAAUGUGAAGGAGGCAUUGGAAAAAGUUGUGAAUGAGGAGAAUAUGGAAGGAUUAAAGUCUCAAGUACUUAUCCAAUUGGUAAAUCCACACCAAAGAAAACUUGGAUGAAAAGCACGGUUAUCGAGAACAUCCCCUAUACUAUUGUACAUGGGAUUGAGGAAACUAAUAGGAAGUAGUCCAUGUAGGAGAACAAUUUAAAGAUAGAAGUCUUUUAAAUGUAAGAAGGAAAGAGAUUUUGUUUAGUUGAUAAAUGAAGAAAUGGAGGUAGUUU